UACAGAGGGUGCGAGCGUUGUCCGGAAUCACUGGGCGUAAAGGGCGCGUAGGUGGCGGUUCAAGUCCAUGGUGAAAGCUCGAUGCUCAACAUCGAGUCGGCCACGGAUACUGGGUUGCUGGAGCACUGUAGGGGCAGAUGGAAUUCCGGGUGUAGCGGUGGAAUGCGUAGAGAUCCGGAAGAACACCGGUGGCGAAGGCGGUCUGCUGGGCAGUUGCUGACACUGAGGCGCGACAGCGUGGGGAGCAAACAGG
rnacentral:rRNA from 1 species